rnacentral:lncRNA from 1 species
AUGUUGAACAUAGACUCAGAUAUAUACAGGCUGACAGACAUGUUGAACAUAGACUCAGAUAUAUACAGGCUGACAGACAUGUUGAAUAUAGACUCAGAUAUAUACAGGCUGACAGACAUGUUGAACAUAGACUCAGAUAUAUACAGGCUGACAGACAUGUUGAACAUAGACUCAGAUAUAUACAGGCUGACAGACAUGUUGAAUAUAGACUCAGAUAUAUACAGGCUGACAGACAUGUUGAAUAUAGACUCAGAUAUAUACAGGCUGACAGACAUGUUGAACAUAGACUCAGAUAUAUACAGGCUGACAGACAUGUUGAACAUAGACUCAGAUAUAUACAGGCUGACAGACAUGUUGAACAUAGACUCAGAUAUAUACAGGCUGACAGACAUGUUGAAUAUAGACUCAGAUAUAUACAGGCUGACAGACAUGUUGAACAUAGACUCAGAUAUAUACAGGCUGACAGACAUGUUGAACAUAGACUCAGAUAUAUACAGGCUGACAGACAUGUUGAAUAUAGACUCAGAUAUAUACAGGCUGACAGACAUGUUGAAUAUAUACUCAGAUAUAUACAGGCUGACAGACAUGUUGAACAUAGACUCAGAUAUAUACAGGCUGACAGACAUGUUGAACAUAGACUCAGAUAUAUACAGGCUGACAGACAUGUUGAACAUAGACUCAGAUAUAUACAGGCUGACAGACAUGUUGAACAUAGACUCAGAUAUAUACAGGCUGACAGACAUGUUGAACAUAGACUCAGAUAUAUACAGGCUGACAGACAUGUUGAACAUAGACUCAGAUAUAUACAGGCUGACAGACAUGUUGAACAUAGACUCAGAUAUAUACAGGCUGACAGACAUGUUGAACAUAGACUCAGAUAUAUACAGGCUGACAGACAUGUUGAACAUAGACUCAGAUAUAUACAGGCUGACAGACAUGUUGAAUAUAGACUCAGAUAUAUACAGGCUGACAGACAUGUUGAAUAUAUACUCAGAUAUAUACAGGCUGACAGACAUGUUGAACAUAGACUCAGAUAUAUACAGGCUGACAGACAUGUUGAACAUAGACUCAGAUAUAUACAGGCUGACAGACAUGUUGAACAUAGACUCAGAUAUAUACAGGCUGACAGACAUGUUGAACAUAGACUCAGAUAUAUACAGGCUGACAGACAUGUUGAACAUAGACUCAGAUAUAUACAGGCUGACAGACAUGUUGAACAUAGACUCAGAUAUAUACAGGCUGACAGACAUGUUGAACAUAGACUCAGAUAUAUACAGGCUGACAGACAUGUUGAAUAUAUACUCAGAUAUAUACAGGCUGACAGACAUGUUGAAUAUAUACUCAGAUAUAUACAGGCUGACAGACAUGUUGAACAUAGACUCAGAUAUACCCUAA